rnacentral:rRNA from 1 species
AAUCCUUCCGUAAGGGAACCUGCGGAAGGAUCAUUA